rfam:Anopheles merus strain MAF cont2.12753, whole genome shotgun sequence.
UGUGAUUGAUUGUUUUUAUGUAUGGUUUUGGGCUGUUAUUAUGAGAUAAUUCUCAUAAUAACAGCCCAAAACCAUACAUAAAAACAAUCAAUCACA